GACGAACGCUGGCGGCGUGCUUAACACAUGCAAGUCGAACGAUGAAGCCUAGCUUGCUAGGUGGAUUAGUGGCGAACGGGUGAGUAAUACGUGAGUAACCUACCUUUAACUCUGGGAUAAGCCUGGGAAACUGGGUCUAAUACCGGAUACGACCAAUCUCCGCAUGGGGUGUUGGUGGAAAGCGUUAUGUAGUGGUUAUAGAUGGGCUCACGGCCUAUCAGCUUGUUGGUGAGGUAACGGCUCACCAAGGCGACGACGGGUAGCCGGCCUGAGAGGGUGACCGGCCACACUGGGACUGAGACACGGCCCAGACUCCUACGGGAGGCAGCAGUGGGGAAUAUUGCACAAUGGGCGCAAGCCUGAUGCAGCGACGCCGCGUGAGGGAUGACGGCCUUCGGGUUGUAAACCUCUGUUAGCAGGGAAGAAGAGAGAUUGACGGUACCUGCAGAGAAAGCGCCGGCUAACUACG
rnacentral:rRNA from 1 species